rnacentral:rRNA from 1 species
GACCGAUAGCGAACAAGUACCGUGAGGGAAAGAUGAAAAGCACUUUGGAAAGAGAGUUAAACAGUACGUGAAAUUGUUGAAAGGGAAACGAUUGAAGUCAGUCAUGCUCUUUGGAUUAAGCCGUUCUGCGGUGUAUUUCAUUGAGCGGGGUCAACAUCAGUUUUGAUCGCUGGAAAAGGGCAGGAGGAAGGUAGCACUCUCGGGUGAACUUAUAGCCUCUUGUCGUAUACAGUGAUUGGGACUGAGGAACGCAGCAUGCCUUUUGGCCGGGAUUCGUCCACGUACAUGCUUAGGAUGUUGACAUAAUGGCUUUAAACGACCCGUCUUGAAACACGGACCAAG